rnacentral:lncRNA from 1 species
ACCUGACCCUCGGAUCCCCAAGGCGGGGCAGCUGCCAGGGCUGGCUGGGCCCAGGAACGGCUCGCUGAGUCAUCUCGGCUGUUCCAGAGGCUGUGCUGGCCUGACGUAGCUAUUACCUGCGACUUUGUGCGUCCGAUAACAACAUUGGGUGAGCACACCACCAAGCCCCCGUGCCCAGCAGACCACCCCACAGCCUCAGAAAGGCCAGUCAUUAUUCCCAUGUGUAGACGCAGAACUCGUGCACUGGCUGGGGUCAGAACAGCAGCCAAAGUGACCCAAACCCAGGGCUUCCCGGCGUGGAGCCUGAACUGUGCCUCGCCACGCUAUUGCUGGAGAGCUGGGCACAGGCUGGAUCCACCGCCCAGGCGGAUGGGAGCUCCGUGGGAGUGCCACAGCCAUAGCCUCACGUGGGAGGGCCUAUGGUCACCCCAUGGCUUACAACUAAAGGACACCCCAUUCCAGCUGCAGACGCUGAACGUGCAUGGUUUGCUAUCCGUGGACAUCACACCUGGUAUCCCUGGCCACAGGACCCCCGGCCCCUCCUGAGAGGAGAAGUCCCCAGCUCUGCCCCCAGGGCCUGCACCCUGACUCCAGCCCACGGGGUCAGCAUGGGGCUCCAGAGGGCUCCGUAGGAUUCCCCAGCUCCCACUCGUGGCAGCCAGCCCAGCCAGCUUGCCCAGCACAGCUUCAGGGGCACCCGUGGGGAGCGGGUGCUCACCUCCCACGCUGGGAGUGCCAUGUGCCCUUGUGCACCUGUGGCCUAGCUAGGUCUUGGAGAAGGCUGAACCAGGCCAGUUCUGACCCCUCUGUCACCCGACAUCCCCUCCUUUCUGGACAGGGGAUUGAUGUCCCACCCGGCCAACCCAGGUCCUGUGCUCUGAUUUGCUUUGCCAAAGGUCAAAGGCUACUGUCAUCCUCGCUGUCACUGGCAAAGCCAAGGCUCCUGAAUGACC